UCGAGAGAAGGGAAAUCUCCAUGUAGAAAUCCGACGGAGACGGCGACAAGGUGGGGGAGGCGCCGCCGCCAAUUGUAUCAGGCGUUGAUGUUGUGGUGUUCGACGAGGGGGGAGACGAUCUCCAACAUCGGCGGAGGAGGGCCUCCUGCAACGGGUUUCGGCCGGCGGCGUUUGAAGGAUAUUGUUGACUCCGGCGGCGGCGGUUUACAGAUCUGAAGAAUAAGGAAAAAGAAAAAAGAAAAAAAGAAAAAAAAAAAAAAGAACUGUGAACAGAGAGAAAGAUUGAGAGAAUGAAAGAGAGAGAGAGCGAGAACAGAGAGAAAAAGCGAGAGAAUGAAAGAGAGAGAAAUAAAAUUGUAUUAGGUUAAAAACCUAACACAUAGGGGAAUUUUAGUCUUAUCAUGAGUGGUAAGGGGGGUCUCACUAAUUUAGAUUGGGAUAUGGGUUAUGGGAAAAGUCUUUAAAGUCAAUUGGGUUUAGUUCAAAAUAUUUUCCAAAUAAGGGGUGUAUUGCAUAUUUACCGAAAUAUUAUAUAUAGAUUACUUAUUAAAAAAAGGAAAAAAGAAAAAAGAAAAAAAAAAGAAGUUAGAGGGCAAUUUUGUCAUUUCCUACAACAAAAGGAAGAAAAGUCGCAGAAAUCGCGCGUGAGACACACGAUUUGCGACGAGGGGGUUUUCGCCUUUGACUAAUAAAUACAGGGGGUUAUUUGCUAAUUUUUUUAUGACAAGAGGAAAAUGACGCGCGAUUUGCGACGAGGGGGUUUUCGCCUUUGACUAAUAAAUACAGGGGGUUAUUUGCUAAUUUUUUAUGACAAGGGAAAAAUGCACAGUUGAAAUUUUCACAGGGAUAAUAAAUGCAAUAAGCUCAUAAAAAUUAUCUUGGGUCCAACACUAUCUAUAAGUUGCCUCUUGACACAGAGACAUGUUGAGUUAAAAGUUAAAACCAAGUAUAAAUAAUCUAUAAAUCAACUUAAAAAGGGGAGAAUAAAAGACUUAAAAAUAGUAUUUUUUUUUUCAUGGACACAAGUAAAAGGAUAUAUGGUUUAAUUUCAGAUAUAAAAGGAAGUUUUGAAGUGGUGAAUUUUAUUGAGACAUUGUUGAGCCCUCUCCAAGACAUCUUCUGUAUUGCACCUCCUCCUCUUUAUGAUGCUUUCAUCUCUAUCAACUUUCUUUCUUUUCUUUCUGCUCGAUGACUCUGUUUAUAUAAAUUAUGCUAAAACAAAUUAGAAUAAAACAAAUAAAACAAUAUAUAUAUAUAUAUAUAUAUAUAUAUUAAUUGGGUGAAUAUUAUUAUUAAAGCAGUAUACAAACCUUGGGUGUCAGGUGUAAAUAAAGAGAUUGAAGAAGUGCAGGGGGCUUUGAUGAACACAAAGUUGUGAUAUUGAGAUUCUAAAUCUGAAAUAAAAGAUUUGAGCUCCGUUUUUAGAGAAUGAAACUUGUUUGGGUGCUGGAAUUCCAAUUUCUCCAAUUCUUCCUUUGCUUCUUCUAUCAAACUCAUAUUCCUCGAUGCCACUUGCGCCAUUUCUGAAUCCCCUCUCCCUCUCUCUCUCUCUCUCUCUCUCUCUCUCUC
rnacentral:lncRNA from 1 species